GGUUAACCGAAUAGGGGAGCCGGAGGGAAACCGAGUCUUAAUUGGGCGUUAAGUUGCAGGGUAUAGACCCGAAACCCGGUGAUCUAGCCAUGGGCAGGUUGAAGGUUGGGUAACACUAACUGGAGGACCGAACCGACUAAUGUUGAAAAAUUAGCGGAUGACCUGUGGCUGGGGGUGAAAGGCCAAUCAAACCGGGAGAUAGCUGGUUCUCCCCGAAAGCUAUUUAGGUAGCGCCUCGUGAAUUCAUCUCCGGGGGUAGAGCACUGUUUCGGCUAGGGGGCCAUCCCGGCUUACCAACCCGAUGCAAACUGCGAAUACCGGAGAAUGUUAUCACGGGAGACACACGGCGGGUGCUAACGUCCGUCGUGAAGAGGGAAACAACCCAGACCGCCAGCUAAGGUCCCAAAGUCAUGGUUAAGUGGGAAACGAUGUGGGAAGGCACAGACAGCCAGGAUGUUGGCUUAGAAGCAGCCAUCAUUUAAAGAAAGCGUAAUAGCUCACUGGUCGAGUCGGCCUGCGCGGAAGAUGUAACGGGGCUAAACCAUGCACCGAAGCUGCGGCAGCGACGUUUAUGCGUUGUUGGGUAGGGGAGCGUUCUGUAAGCCUGCGAAGGUGGCCUGUGAGGGU
rnacentral:rRNA from 1 species